UUUACUUUAUUAUAAAUUCCUAUUAGGGAAUUACCACAACAAAUCUGUUGUAAGUAAAA
rnacentral:tRNA from 1 species